CCUACGGGAGGCUGCAGUGAGGAAUAUUGGGCAAUGGGCGCGAGCCUGAACCAGCAAAGUCGCGUGAAGGAGUACUGCUCUAUGGGUUGUAACUCUCUUUUGUCGGGGAGCAAAAGCCGAAGGUGUCCGGCUGUGAGAGUACCCGAAGCAAAAGCAUCGGCUAACCCCGUGCCAGCAGCCGCGGUAAUACGGAGGAUGCGAGCGUUCGCCGGAUUUAUGGGGGUAAAGGGGGACGCAGGCGGAGUUUUAAGUCAGCGGUAAAAUCGUGGGGCUCAACCCCAUCCAGCCGUUGAAACUGGGGAUCUAGAGUGUGCGAGAGGUAUGCGGAAUGCGUGGUGUAGCGGUGAAAUGCAUAGAUAUCACGCAGAACCCCGAUUGCGAAGGCAGCAUACCGGUGCACAACUGACGCUCAGGCACGAAAGCGUGGGUAUCGAACAGGAUUAGAUACCCCAGUAGUC
rnacentral:rRNA from 1 species